GAUGAACGCUAGCGACAGGCUUAACACAUGCAAGUCGAGGGGCAGCAGGUCUUCGGAUGCUGGCGACCGGCGCACGGGUGAGUAACACGUAUGCAACCUACCCAUUACUUUGGGAUAGCCCGCUGAAAGGCGGAUUAAUACCGAAUGACACAGGGGUACCACAUGGUACUAUUUGUUAAAGAUUUAUCGGUAAUGAAUGGGCAUGCGUAGGAUUAGGUAGUUGGUUGAGGUAACGGCUCACCAAGCCCUCGAUCCUUAGGGGAACUGAGAGGUUUAUCCCCCACACUGGUACUGAGACACGGACCAGACUCCUACGGGAGGCAGCAGUGAGGAAUAUUGGUCAAUGGUCGAGAGACUGAACCAGCCAAGUCGCGUGAAGGAUGACGGUAUUAUGUAUUGUAAACUUCUUUUAUGCAGGAAUAAAACGGGGUACGUGUACCUUCUUGUAUGUACUGUAUGAAUAAGCAUCGGCUAACUCCGUGCCAGCAGCCGCGGUAAUACGGAGGAUGCGAGCGUUAUCCGGAUUUAUUGGGUUUAAAGGGUGCGUAGGUGGAUUGAUAAGUCAGUGGUGAAAUCCCGUUGCUCAACAACGGAACUGCCAUUGAAACUGUCGAUCUUGAGUGCGGACGAGGUAGGCGGAAUUCGUAGUGUAGCGGUGAAAUGCAUAGAUAUUACGAAGAACUCCGAUAGCGCAGGCAGCUUACCAGGUCGCAACUGACACUGAUGCACGAAAGUGUGGGUAUCAAACAGGAUUAGAUACCCUGGUAGUCCACACAGUAAACGAUGAUAACUAACUGUUUGCGAUAUACAGUAAGUGGUACAGCGAAAGCGUUAAGUUAUCCACCUGGGGAGUACGCCGGCAACGGUGAAACUCAAAGGAAUUGACGGGGGCCCGCACAAGCGGAGGAACAUGUGGUUUAAUUCGAUGAUACGCGAGGAACCUUACCCGGGCUCGAACGGCAGAUGAAAGACUUGGAAACAAGCUGACCGCAAGGACAUCUGUCGAGGUGCUGCAUGGUUGUCGUCAGCUCGUGCCGUGAGGUGUCGGCUUAAGUGCCAUAACGAGCGCAACCCUUAUCUUUAGUUACCAUCAGGUCGUGCUGGGGACUCUAGAGAGACUGCCACCGUAAGGUGUGAGGAAGGUGGGGAUGACGUCAAAUCAGCACGGCCCUUACGUCCGGGGCUACACACGUGUUACAAUGGGGGGGACAAAGGGUCGCUACCUGGCAACAGGAUGCUAAUCUCUAAACCCUCUCCCAGUUCGGAUUGGAGUCUGCAACCCGACUCCAUGAAGCUGGAUUCGCUAGUAAUCGCGCAUCAGCCAUGGCGCGGUGAAUACGUUCCCGGGCCUUGUACACACCGCCCGUCAAGCCAUGGAAGCCGGGGGUACCUGAAGUUCGUAACCGCAAGGAGCGACCUAGGGUAAAACUGGUAACUGGGGCU
rnacentral:rRNA from 1 species